rnacentral:rRNA from 1 species
GAGUUUGAUCUUGGCUCAGAUUGAACGCUGGCGGCAUGCCUUACGCAUGCAAGUCGAACGGCAGCACGGGAGCUUGCUCCUGGUGGCGAGUGGCGAACGGGUGAGUAAUGCAUCGGAACGUAUCCUGGAGUGGGGGAUAACGUAGCGAAAGUUACGCUAAUACCGCAUAUUCUGUGAGCAGGAAAGCGGGGGACCUUCGGGCCUCGCGCUCUUGGAGCGGCCGAUGUCGGAUUAGCUAGUUGGUGAGGUAAAGGCUCACCAAGGCGACGAUCCGUAGCAGGUCUGAGAGGAUGAUCUGCCACACUGGAACUGAGACACGGUCCAGACUCCUACGGGAGGCAGCAGUGGGAAUUUUGGACAAUGGGGGCAACCCUGAUCCAGCCAUGCCGCGUGAGUGAAGAAGGCCUU